rnacentral:rRNA from 1 species
AUUGAACGCUGGCGGCAUGCCUUACACAUGCAAGUCGAACGGCAGCACGGGAGCAAUCCUGGUGGCGAGUGGCGAACGGGUGAGUAAUAUAUCGGAACGUGCCCAGUCGUGGGGAUAACGUAGCGAAAGCUACGCUAAUACCGCAUACGAUCUAUGGAUGAAAGCGGGGGAUCGCAAGACCUCGCGCGAUUGGAGCGGCCGAUAUCAGAUUAGGUAGUUGGUGAGGUAAAGGCUCACCAAGCCGACGAUCUGUAGCUGGUCUGAGAGGACGACCAGCCACACUGGGACUGAGACACGGCCCAGACUCCUACGGGAGGCAGCAGUGGGGAAUAUUGGACAAUGGGCGAAAGCCUGAUCCAGCAAUGCCGCGUGAGUGAUGAAGGCCUUAGGGUUGUAAAGCUCUUUUUACCCGAGAUGAUAAUGACAGUAUCGGGAGAAUAAGCUCCGGCUAACUCCGUGCCAGCAGCC